rnacentral:rRNA from 1 species
AUACGGAGGGUGCAAGCGUUAUCCGGAGUUUAUUGGGUUUAAAGGGUACGUAGGUGGCCCUGUAAGUCAGUGGUGAAAUCCUGCCGCUUAACGGUAGAAUUGCCAUUGAUACUGCGGGGCUUGAGUACAGUUGAGGCAGGCGGAAUGUGCAGUGUAGCGGUGAAAUGCUUAGAUAUAACACAGAACACCAAUUGCGAAGGCAGCUUACUGGGAUACAACUGACGCUGAGGCACGAAAGCGUGGGGAUC